CGGGGCUUAGUGGCGGACGGGUGAGUAACACGUGGGAACGUGCCUAUUAGGUUCGGAAUAGCUCCUGGAAACGGGUGGUAAUGCCGAAUGUGCCCUUCGGGGGAAAGAUUUAUCUGCCUUUAGAGCGGCCCGCGUCUGAUUAGCUAGUUGGUGGGGUAAUGGCCCACCAAGGCUACGAAUCAGUAGCUGGUCUGAGAGGAUGACCAGCCACAUUGGGACUGAGACACGGCCCAAACUCCUACGGGAGGCAGCAGUGGGGAAUGUUGCGCAAUGGGCGAAAGCCUGACGCAGCCAUGCCGCGUGUAUGAUGAAGGUCUUAGGAUUGAUAUAGAAUACUUUCACCGGUGAAGAUAAUGACUGUAGCCGGAGAAGAAGCCCCGGCUAACUUCGUGCCAGCAGC
rnacentral:rRNA from 1 species